ensembl:lncRNA
AGGCACAUCACCAGCGACCAGGAGGCGCAGAGUGAGUGCAGAGAAGUUUUCCUCCUCUCCGCCCCGAGUGUGCGAUGCCAUCCGAGACUCACCUGUCAUCAGUCUAUUGACGGGCUGCGGCGGACAGCAGCACCGGGGAUGUACGACAGGGCUGCUCAGACGCUCAGGCAUUCAGACUGAGACCAUAUUCUAGCACGUAGGUUUUGCUGAGCUGGUUUCUGCCGCUGCACCCAGCAUCUGCCCAGUGAUCAACUUCCCCUACAGCAGUGAUGAACUGGCAUCACCCGUCCUCUAGUGAAAAAACGUAGCUUGCUCAGAG